rnacentral:rRNA from 1 species
GUGGGGAAUCUUCCGCAAUGGACGAAAGUCUGACGGAGCAACGCCGCGUGAGUGAUGAAGGUCUUCGGAUUGUAAAGCUCUGUUAAUCGGGACGAAAGAGCCUAGUGUGAAUAAUGCUAGGAAGUGACGGUACCGGAAUAGAAAGCCACGGCUAACUACGUGCCAGCAGCCGCGGUAAUACGUAGGUGGCAAGCGUUGUCCGGAAUUAUUGGGCGUAAAGCGCGCGCAGGCGGAUCUGCCAGUCUGUCUUAAAAGUUCGGGGCUUAACCCCGUGAUGGGAUGGAAACUACAGAUCUAGAGGAUCGGAGAGGAAAGUGGAAUUCCUAGUGUAGCGGUGAAAUGCGUAGAUAUUAGGAAGAACACCAGUGGCGAAGGCGACUUUCUGGACGAAAACUGACGCUGAGGCGCGAAAGCCAGGGGAGCGAACGGGAUUAGAAACCCGAGUAGUCC